AGGACGAACGCUGGCGGCGUGCUUAACACAUGCAAGUCGAACGGUGACCCUCGGAGCUUGCUUCGGGGUGAUCAGUGGCGAACGGGUGAGUAACACGUGAGUAACCUGCCCCAGACUCUGGGAUAACCCCGGGAAACCGGAGCUAAUACCGGAUACGACACGGAGAGGCAUCUCUACCGUGUGGAAAGUUUUUCGGUCUGGGAUGGACUCGCGGCCUAUCAGCUUGUUGGUGAGGUAAUGGCUCACCAAGGCGACGACGGGUAGCCGGCCUGAGAGGGCGACCGGCCACACUGGGACUGAGACACGGCCCAGACUCCUACGGGAGGCAGCAGUGGGGGAAUAUUGCACAAUGGGCGAAAGCCUGAUGCAGCGACGCCGCGUGAGGGAUGAAGGCCUUCGGGUGUAAACCGUCUUUCAGCAGGGAGAAGCGAAGUGACGGUACCUGCAGAAGAAGCACCGGCUAACUACGCGCCAGCAGCCGCGGU
rnacentral:rRNA from 1 species